UACGUAGGGUGCGAGCGUUGUCCGGAAUUAUUGGGCGUAAAGAGCUUGUAGGCGGUUUGUUGAGUCUGCUGUGAAAAUCCGGGGCUCAACCCCGGAAUUGCAGUGGGUACGGGCAGACUAGAGUGUGGUAGGGGAGACUGGAAUUCCUGGUGUAGCGGUGAAAUGCGCAGAUAUCAGGAGGAACACCGAUGGCGAAGGCAGGGCUCUGGGCCACUACUGACGCUGAGAAGCGAAAGCAUGGGGAGCGAACAGG
rnacentral:rRNA from 1 species